GUCUGGUCCUGACCCCCUCCCACACCUGCUGGGGGUGGGCCCGGGUGCACACUAGCUCCUCUGGUACCACCUUCUGGGUCUCCUCCACCAGGACAGGCCUGUGACCCUCCCUGUAGCUUCCAAAGACCCCCAAAGUGAGCAGGCCCCCGGCUUGGCACUGGGGGCUACACAGGGUCUGCUGUGUGUGGGCUACAGGGCAGUACCUGCUUCAAAGAGGCAGGAGGAAGCCUUCCGGCCCCACCCCUGCCGGUCUGGGGACAUCAAAGAGCCUGCCCGAAGGUGGCAGGCGGCACAGGCAGGGAGCUGCCCAUGGUUCCGUCUCCAGAGGGAGCGGCCAGGGCAGGCCAGCCCCACCCCGGGGUCCAGCAGGAGGCCCCUCAUGGCAACCCCAAGCCACCACCUGAGGUGCCACCUCUUGGGCCUCUUGGAAACGCCACUGAGAGUGACGCACAUCGUGACUGCACCGUCGGGCAGAGCCUUCGACAGGCGCGAGACAGAACUCUGAGCAGGAAGAAAGUGGCACUGAAGCCGCUUCUAGUCCUUCCGUCCCUCAGUGAAGACAAAGUCACGGCACAACCUGACACGGAGUUCAGGGUUCGGUGGAACGUGGGGCCGACCGCCACCCGCCCUCCCUGCGCGCCCCACCUCCUGCCCCAGUCCCUUCUCUGGGCCGGGCUGCUUGGGGCUUCCCCGGGUCCCCCAGCUGGUGAGCGGGAGAGCAGGGAUGGGGUCCCGAUAGGUGGGUCCCUCCCCCAAAGCAGGUGGCUUUCUGGUCUGGCACUUGGCACUGGUUUGCUGGGACUUCAGCCCGGCUGGGGCUCGCACACCUCUAGGUGGCUCUCACAUCACUGGGGCUUGCUCCCCAGGGCGGCAGCCAGAGAGCGAGGGUUCCGUGUGUGUGCUGAGCAUCCGUGAGUGCCAGGCCCUGCUCCACGUGUGGGGACAGAGAUGCACCCUCAUGCAGACCUCGCCAUGGCCCGGGCUGCCCAAAGCUGGGCAGUGGGAGGGAGAGCUGCCAGCAGGGAGGCACUGCCCUGUAGAGAAGAUGCUCUCCUCAGGAUCAUCAUGAAGAGAGCAAAAGGAGUAGCUGUGCAAAGGUCUUGAGGCAGCAGUGUGUCUACAGCGUUUAGGGAACAGCGAUUGGUAGGGGAGUGGGUGUAAGAGCAGGUCAGCGGGGAACAUGGCCAGA
rnacentral:lncRNA from 12 species